CAGCCGCCACGGUAACACGUAUGUCACAAGCGUUAUCCGGAUUUAUCGGGCGUAAAGCGCGUCUAGGUGGUUAUGUAAGUCUGAUGUGAAAAUGCAGGGCUCAACUCUGUAUUGCGUUGGAAACUGUGUAACUAGAGUACUGGAGAGGUAAGCGGAACUACAAGUGUAGAGGUGAAAUUCGUAGAUAUUUGCAGGAAUGCCGAUGGGGAAGCCAGCUUACUGGACAGAUACUGACGCUCAUGCACGAAAGCGUGGGGAGCAAACAGGAUUAGAUACCCCUGUAGUCCCUGUCUCUUAUACA
rnacentral:rRNA from 1 species